rnacentral:rRNA from 1 species
UACGUAGGGGGCUAGCGUUGUCCGGAAUCAUUGGGCGUAAAGCGCGUGUAGGCGGCCCGAUAAGUCCGCUGUGAAAGUCCAGGGCUCAACCCUGGGAUGCCGGUGGAUACUGUCGGGCUCGAGUCCGGAAGAGGCGAGUGGAAUUCCUGGUGUAGCGGUGAAAUGCGCAGAUAUCUGGAGGAACACCGGUGGCGAAGGCGGCAUCCUGGACCGGUAUUGACGCUGAGGCGCGAAAGCCAGGGGAGCAAACGGG